rnacentral:rRNA from 1 species
AUUGAACGCUGGCGGCAGGCCUAACACAUGCAAGUCGAGCGGAUGAAGGGAGCUUGCUCCUGGAUUCAGCGGCGGACGGGUGAGUAAUGCCUAGGAAUCUGCCUGGUAGUGGGGGAUAACGUCCGGAAACGGGCGCUAAUACCGCAUCCGUCCUGAGGGAGAAAGUGGGGGAUCUUCGGACCUCACGCUAUUAGCUGAGCCUAGGUCGGAUUAGCUAGUUGGUGGGGUAAAGGCCUACCAAGGCGACGAUCCGUAACUGGUCUGAGAGGAGGAUCAGUCACACUGGAACUGAGACACGGUCCAGACUCCUACGGGAGGCAGCAGUGGGGAAUAUUGGACAAUGGGCGAAAGCCUGAUCCAGCCAGGCCGCGUGUGUGAAGAAGGUCUUCGGAUUGUAAAGCACUUUAAGUUGGGAGGAAGGGCAGUAAGUUAAUACCUUGCUGUUUUGACGUUACCAACAGAAUAAGCACCGGCUAACUUCGUG